GAGUUUGAUCCUGGUUCAGGACGAAGCUGGCGGCAUGCCUAACACAUGCAAGUCGAACGGAGUAAGAGAGAAGCUUGCUUAGCUCUUACUUAGUGGCGGACGGGUGAGUAACGCGUGAGUAACCUGCCUUUCAGAGGGGGAUAACGUUCUGAAAAGAACGCUAAUACCGCAUGAUAUAUUGGGGUCGCAUGGCCUUGGUAUCAAAGGAGCAAUCCGCUGAAAGAUGGACUCGCGUCCGAUUAGCCAGUUGGCGGGGUAAAGGCCCACCAAAGCGACGAUCGGUAGCCGGGUUGAGAGACUGAACGGCCACAUUGGGACUGAGACACGGCCCAGACUCCUACGGGAGGCAGCAGCGGGGGAUAUUGCACAAUGGGCGAAAGCCUGAUGCAGCAAUGCCGCGUGAGGGAAGACGGUCUUCGGAUUGUAAACCUCUGUCCUUGGUGAAGAUAAUGACGGUAGCCAAGGAGGAAGCUCCGGCUAACUACGUGCCAGCAGCCGCGGUAAUACGUAGGGAGCAAGCGUUGUCCGGAUUUACUGGGUGUAAAGGGUGCGUAGGCCGCUUUUUAAGUCGGGCGUGAAAGCUGUGGGCUUAACCCACAAAUUGCGUUCGAAACUGGAAGGCUUGAGUGAA
rnacentral:rRNA from 1 species